rnacentral:rRNA from 1 species
GACGAACGCUGGCGGCGUGCCUAAUACAUGCAAGUAGAACGCUGAAGGAGGAGCUUGCUUCUCUGGAUGAGUUGCGAACGGGUGAGUAACGCGUAGGUAACCUGCCUGGUAGCGGGGGAUAACUAUUGGAAACGAUAGCUAAUACCGCAUAAGAGUAGAUGUUGCAUGACAUUUGCUUAAAAGGUGCAAUUGCAUCACUACCAGAUGGACCUGCGUUGUAUUAGCUAGUUGGUGGGGUAACGGCUUACCAAGGCGACGAUACAUAGCCGACCUGAGAGGGUGAUCGGCCACACUGGGACUGAGACACGGCCCAGACGCCUACGGGAGGCAGCAGUAGGGAAUCUUCGGCAAUGGACGGAAGUCUGACCGAGCAACGCCGCGUGAGUGAAGAAGGUUUUCGGAUCGUAAAGCUCUGUUGUAAGAGAAGAACGAGUGUGAGAGUGGAAAGUUCACACUGUGACGGUAUCUUACCAGAAAGGGACGGCUAACUACGUG